AAAAGGGCCUCAAGGGGAGAAGCUCAGAAAAUGAGGUUUUAGGUACCAGCAACUCAACCUCUUUUGUCUGUUUUCUUCCCAUAAAUAAUCAUGUUGUGCAUCUAUAUUUAUUGUAAUAAGCCCAAUUCAGAGAAAUCGGAUCCAUAGCUGAACAGAGAACAAAGGGGAACUGUUCAGCUAUGCAGCAGUUUGCCAUGUCUCCCACACCACUGAAAGAGCCACUGUAUUACCUUCUGUCCUCGACUCCUGGGGGUAUUCUUUUCUCAUGGUGAUGUCCGAUAUUACAUUUAAAGCCAUAAUACUGCAACUGCAAUGGGCUGUCUCAGAAAUGUCAUGGAUCAGUCAUAAUCUCUGAAGAACAUACAAUACAUAGUGGACUGACAGAUUUUAUAAAGUAAUCUGCAGUGGAAAAGGUUUUUUGUGUUUUUAUUUACCUUUUUGUCAGUACCUCAUCGAGGUUGUAAUGAUUGCUUAAGUCUUUUGAAAGUGAAUUUUGUCGGAUAUAGUCUGAUAUAAGUUGUAGCUGAUGACUGUACUCUAUUAGAGUGGCUAUUUCUCAGUUUACGGAACAGUUUUCUCAGUUUACAACACCUGUCAGAAAUUGACUAGCUGGUUUAAAACAAAAAUAGAUUUUUUUAAAAAGAGUAUAAUUAUUAUUACUAAGUUAAUUUCUUGCACUUUAAAAGUCAGUUUUGACAUGGAAAAUUAAACUAGUAAGGAUCCAAGAAGUAAGAUUACCCUUUGACUAGUAUGAUCUUUUUGCCCAUAGCUGUCAUGAUAAAGAUAAUGAGUAAACUCAGUUGUUUUCUAUUUUGAUCUGUAUGUUUAUACAUGCAAUUAAACUAAAUGGAAUUUUGCAACAUUUUAUUUACUCUAGGAAUAUACCUAGAUGUAAAAAUACAUUAGGUUUUGCAGCCCCAUGGGAAAGCACAUUUUGUCAUAUGUAUUUUAGUGGGCAUUAAACUAUUAUUUAUGAACUAUGAAUAAUGAUCUAAAGAGAUGAGGGAUUAAGAGAAAAUAUUUAAACAUAUUGAAGUGCCCUGUUUUGAAAUAUCUCCUAUAAAUAUUUGUUUUGUAAAUUUGAUUCAGGUUCAACUAUCAAGUAUCAUCAGUCAUUCCUACCAUAUCAUGUCUUUAAAUUCCAAUUAAGGUUGCUUUCUCACUUCCAAAAAGCCUAGGAAGUGUCAAAAGAAACUCUCUCAAGGGCUUCAUCUACUAGAGAUUUCUCCCUCAUUGUUUCUUCAAACAGAUGAGUGCUGCAUACCUUGACUCCAGCCAUGACAACACAAUUCCCAUGAAGCAGCCCUUAAAAAUCACUCUGGAGCUCACACAGCAGGAGACUGAAGAACAUAAACCCAAUGUAAGCCCGAGCUUCCUUACACAUAAUUCUUCAGCUCUGUGGGGCUGCAUGCCUCUCUUUGGCCCACCCUGGUGCACCCUUGUUGCAGGAGUGUGGCAAAUAUGGGGGCUCUGAAUUGAUCCAGGUCUAUUCUGGGCCUCUGCAAGUGUCUGAAGGAACUGUGUCUGUCUGAAAAAAGAUUGAGCAUAUAAUAUUCUCAAAGGAUAUCUUCAAAUUUAAACAAUCCAGGUGAAAAACCAAGAAAGGGAACAGCACCUGCUUCUUUCUAUGCCCUGCCCACACAGCUGUACACAGCACCCAGCGCAGUGGGGAGUGGAUGUGCUAUUCAGCAGUCAUCCCCAUCAAGGACAUAGCAAUGCCCAGUUUACUUUAUACAGACUGACACAUUUAGGCCUUCAUGGAGCUGUAAAAUUUCAUUUUACCUCAAUAACACUUCCAAUGUUCUGAAAGUGAAGCUUUGAAUGUCAGUUUUCACCCUGAAACUGACUUCUCAGGAAAAUUAAGUAAAAUAGAACAAAAUGUAAUCCUGUAUCUUUGCAUUUGCUUCUUUUUACUUCUUACAUGAAACGUAUUGACUGACGCCUCUCUCCCUUGCUGGUAAGCUUCACUGUGUGUAGUGUACCUAAUAUUAAUCUUCACAUAAAUGCAGUUGUAAAGAUAUCACAACCUUAUUGUUACUAAAAUUUUUAUAGAUAUUGUAAUGAGCAAUAAAGUAUAAUUUAUUUAAAUUAAGUACUCAUAGAUGUGUAUAGAGUUUUAAAACACUUUCACACCAAGCUUAAGUAAGAUCUAAUUUUACUGUCUUUUGUUGAGCUGUGCUCUGAUAUCCCAGCUAGUCUUAGGAUAAGAAGGAACAGAAAGGACAAUGCAAGCAGAGAAACUGUUAAGCAAGGAAAAUACAAGUUUAAAAAGUGUAUUCCAAGUUGAAAUUUGAAAGAAAGGAAGUUUUGUUCAGUUAUGACCUAUUUUCAUGCUUGUUUUGGAAUCUUCCUUGGAUUAUACCUGUCAGCCACUAGCUCCUAAAACUGGGGUUAUCUGUGCUUGGAAUUUGGGUUUGCUUGUGCAGGUGGGAUAAGGGUUUGACUUAUAAAUCGCAGUGGUAGUAUCAAGUGAAAAGGUCCCUUCAGGGCCUCUUGGCACUUUCUGUUGGUAGCACGAUAACUUUAUUUCAUUACAUUGUCCAGGAUAUGGAGCCCAAGCAACAGAGAGGCAUUAUUAUCCACAAUCUCCCUGGAAUUUUCUUUCUUCUGUGGAAGAAAUGACUGUACCUUUGGUAGGACAUUCUGUCCCAGCCUAUAAUGUAAAGCAAUAGCAAUCCACACAGAAAAAAAUGAAAGAGUCACAAAAAUAUUCUGUGACUUGGAGUACUUCAAUCGCAUCUGGGAUUCCACAACAUAAGAAGGACAUGAGUCUGCUGGACAAAGUCCAUAGGACGCCACAUAGGGAUGGAUCACCUCUCCUAUGAAGACAGGAUGAGAGGAUUUGGGUUGUUUAACCUGGAAAAGAGAAGUCUCUAGGGAGCCCUUAGAGCAUUUUCCAGUACCUAAAGGGGCUACAGUAAAGAUGGAGAGGGAAUUUUUACAAGGACAUGUAAUGACAGGUCAAGGGACAAGGGCUUUAAUGUGACAGAGGGCAGGUUUAGAUUAGAUAUUACGAAGAUGCUUUGAAGUUUUCAAGGCCAGAUUGGUAGGGGCUUUGAACAACCUGGUCUCCAGUGAAAAUUCUCCCUGUCUGCGACAGGGGGGUUGGAACUAAAUCAUCUAUCCAAACCAGUCUAUGAUUCCAUUAUGUCAUUGAAAACCUGUACAUUUAAAAGAGCUUCUUCUGCAAAUAAUUUCAAACACAUAGUCUAAUGGUAAAACAGCAAAGCAUCAUUUUGCCCCUUUGUAAUCACACAUCUGCAUGCCCAUGACUGGAUUCAUUAAAGGAAAUGUACAUAAUUAAAUGAAAUGUACAUAAUUCUUAUUUGCUGCCUUGAACCUACCAUGAGCAAUGGGGGAGGGGGGGGGGGGUUUGGUUUCAGGUUUGAACCUGAAACAGGAUGGUUGCUUUCUUUUUAUUUGUCUUUUUUUUUUUUUUUUUUAAUUUGGAGAAAGUGAGCUAAAUUCAGCAUUCAAAAUUAAAUCACAUCAACAAUCGUCUUCCAACUUCUGUUAUCUCAGUAUUGAAAGUUUCAUUGUCAGUAUAGAAUUUGUCAGCUGUUGCCUUGUAGUGAUUUGAAAGAGCUUGCUUUCAGGUAUCAGCAGUCCCUAGCUUGUGAGUAGGUGGACAUAUCCUUGAGUAUUCAUGUGUCUGUACGGCAGAGGGUCAGAGGCAGCCGUUCACACAACUUCAUUAAAAUUGUCUCACAGCAGUUCUGGAAGCAUUUCUUAUUACUGUUUAUUAGUCAAAAUGAUGUUAUGAUAUCAUCGCACUUUUAAUUGUCCUGCCACAACCUUCACUUAGUAUAUGAAUGGAGAAAAUGCAGAGAUUGCAAUAUACUCAUAUUUCUUAGCAUUUUCCACAUAUUUAUCUGCUCCCAUACACUUUUGCUCCAUUAUGGAUCCGGGCUGUGACGUUCUUAUACGAGUGUCCAAUGAUAGUGGCAUACCCAGGAACACCCCCAGGGACAAGCCCCUGACUCUGUAUCCUCAAUACAUGUAAGUAAAUACUGCAGCACACUUCCUCUGUGACGGAAGAUGCUGAGGUGCACACGUGGAUGCACAUCUACCAUGUGUGGGACCAGCUGUGCCAGCUGCCAUAAUUACUGCCAGUGUAGGAUCAAUACAGUACAACACAAUCCUCUUUUGGUGAGAGUAAUAUCUGAGAAAAGUAAGUUUGGGGUUUAUAUUAUUGCUUUUGUAGAAAGGUCAUCAGCUUCUUCUAGAGGAGGGUGUGAAAAAUGAUGCUCUAAUCAUCCUGUUAAAGAUGUUAAUUGCCAGUGCAGGUUGGUCAUUUUUUUAGGAGGAAAAUGCAUACAAAUCAAGUUGGUGUACAGUGUGGAUUCUCAUUUCUGUGUUUACAAAAUUAAACUACUUUUCACUGAGCACUUUGGUUGAGGUAAGCUUUGCAAUGAAGAAAGUGUUAUUUUUUCUAAAUAUAUCUUCUUAUUCUAGGGUUUAUAUGAAAAUGCCAGUAAGGCCAAGCUAUGGUAGAGCCACUAGUCAGUCAGGAAAAAUGCAAUUAAUUUUUUUGGGGAGUGGGAAGUAGAAAACACAAUACAAACCCUUUCCCAAAACUCUGGCCAUACUCAGGAAGGUUAAAUGUAUGAGGAGAGUUUGGGAUGAGAGAUAUGGGUGUAAUUUCUUUUCUUUUUUCUGAAGGAGUAUUGUGCAUAGAGGGAAAAAAACCAACCAAACAAAAAAAAACCCAAACAAAAACAAAAACAAAAAACCAAAAAAAAACCCCAAAACCCAGGCAUUUCAAGGAAAAAGGUGUAAGAAAUCCAAGGACAGACAGAAAGGGGUGAUCUUCAAAAAGAGCUAAAGAGAGUGUCUUUGGGUAAAACACUAGAUAAAUCUGAAGUGUGGGUACUUGAUUUUGGUUUUGUUUGAAACAAAAUAUUGCACACAUUCUUUGGGCAGACAAAUAAUUAUAUGAAAGAGCUGCUGACUUUCUUAGCAAUUCUCCAAUAUGCAAGAGACUGAUUUUAGCUAAGUGCUUAUUAAAAAUUAACACUAUUUUCCACUGGCUUAUGAGAACAUUUACUGAAUUUAGUAAGAUUUUACUUUGCUUUUACUUUAUUAUUAAUAUAUCCUCAGAUAUUCUAACUCAUAUUUUUUGCACUCCAUAAAAAGAUGGUUGUAAAAUUCAUUUUAGAGACAUGUUUUGAAACAAAGAGUUUAGAGAUAAAUAAAUGGAAAGUUCUUUUUUGUGCUUUUCUGAAGAAUGGUGUCUUGGCACACAGUAGAAUAGCUUACUUACUUAUUUGGAUUUACAGCUUAGAA